CAACGUCGUAAUAAAAAAAUUGCGCCUCAAAAUUCAAUACAAAAAUCAAUACAAAAUCCUCCAAAAACACCAUACAAUCUUCAAGCUUUAAGAAAUUGGGAGUUCUAAUCGGAAAGCAUGCCUAAACUUAACUAGAGCACAUAAGGUUGAAGAGUUGGAUUCCCUCCAGGCACCAUCGAUUACAAUUCACACCAGAAGGGUAAAUUUGGGUGUUCUUUGUUAAUGUUUGUCGGAAAAUUAUUUCGAUCACCAUACUGAACUUUCAAAUGCUUCCUGGAGAUCUCUAAGACCUUGCAUCUAAACCUCAAGAUGACUUCCUGCCAAACUUUCCUAUUUCAAUGUUUCCCCAGAUAACUUUAUCUUCAGCUUAGGAUAUGAUGAAACGAACUUUGUUAUUUGACUCCCUAGUGCUAAAGUCCAAACAUAGGUAAACAAUUUGCGUGAUUAAACAAUUUAUAUGAAGUUCUCUUCAUGUUGUAUUUAAUUUCCUUCGUGGUUUUGGUUUCCGACUUAUUAUGUGUUAC